ensembl:snoRNA SNORA70 Small nucleolar RNA SNORA70
CUGCAGCCAAUUAAGCCGACUGAGUUCCUUUCCUCAUGGGGGCCCAGUGUGCAAUGGCUGCAAACAGCAGCUUCCCUGGUAGUGAGCUUCCCUGGUAGUGAUGCAGCCUGUUUGUUGUGUGGGUUGCUCUAAGGGACCUUGGAGACAGUC